AGCUUUGCACAGUGGCAGUAUCAUAGCCAAUGAGGUUUAUCCGAGGCGCAAUUAUUGCUAAUUGAAAACUUUUCCCAAUACCCCGCCGUGACGACUUGCAACACAGUCGGCACUGGCAAUAUUUGACAGUCUCUACGGAGA
ensembl:snRNA U4 U4 spliceosomal RNA